GCGCCCGGCCGGCGUGGCUGGCUGUUUGAGGACUGCGCGCGGAGCUCCGUGGCGGGUGUCUGAAGUCGUGAGUUUACUGCUUGUAAGGAACAUAGCGAUCACUGGGAACCUGGAAGUAGAGACUCCUUUCUGCCAUCCAUCCGUCCCUCGGGCUGCUGCGAAUCCCCCCGCCGGCCUCCAGGACCCCGGGCUGACUGAACGCCCGCACCGGUCCCGCCGCCCCAGGGCCCGCUACGCGCCCGGCAUAAUGGGAGAAAAAUCACGACGGAAAGGCCCAGCCCCUCGCCAUGCAGACGGGAAGCUUGGCCGCACGUGUGAUCACCCUUACGCCCCUUGGAGUUUCACCCCCUCUUCGCGGGCUCCAACAGCCUGGGUCAGGCCUCCUUGUCCUGUGUGGGCCUCUCGGCUGCAAGAACACAGUCCCGAGCCCCGGCGAGCCCGCGCGCCUCCCACCCGCCGUGCACAGGCUGCACUUUACGCCCCAGCACUGCGCCUGCGGGACCAUCUGGAUCGCUUUUCCAUUCUGAUGACGUCCUGUACUUCGUGGCUGCAGGCUCCUCAAGCCCCAGGUCUGUGCAGAGACGAGCAAAGCAGCAGAAUAUCCGUGCCACAGCUUUCUGGAGCACCCAUUUUACUACCAGAUUUGGAAGGAACGAAGUUAAGUAAUUUCCAAGAAUCAUCUCCCCUGCCCCACAAACAUGAAAGAAAAGACAAGAGAAGCACCCCAGAAGAGGAGGGGAGAAGUGCCCCAGAAAAAAUCAUCCAGUCUCUGAAGCUUUGCCCAGGGCACCACUCGCCCCUGAUCCAUCUUGGUUUCCCGCACAAGGCAGCAGGAUUGCCCAUGAAUGAACAUGGGUGAAAUCGUUGGAUACAGGUAGUAAAUACAUUCUAUUUCCUGAAAAAUAUUACCUAACUACAUGUCUAGAUAUGGAAUUGCAUUUUCAAGCCAAGCUGGAAUUACAAAUUGUAGCCCAUUUGAAAAUGCAUACAAAUGUGUGACAUAUACACCCAGAGGAAAAGAAGUCACAGUUAUGAAAGAACAAAGUGGGAAAAUAUCUUUUUCAUGUAAGAUUGAGCAUUUUGGUUGAUACUGUGAUAAAAAAUCUUGUGACUGAUUCUCUUUUGCAUUGGUUUUUAGUGUCAUGUGCACUCUGCCCAACUCAGAUAAAAUUGUAUAUGAUGUAAAUAGCAGGAAACUAUAAAUGGUGAUAUUGUCCUGAAAGGAAGCCACUUCAUUUUUCAAAGAUUUCUUCCGCGGCAGGGAUCUAGGAGUGUGCAGGGAUGGAGUUUUGCAUUUCUAGAGGAAACAGCAGGCAGGGUGUGUGCAGCCGGAAAGGGGGCGUCUAGGUUCCAAGGGCAAAUCCCACCCCCUUAGAGGGGAUUGGAGAGCCUGGGAAAGAGGCUGGGCUGCCUGUGAUCCCCACCCCACACCCUGCCUCCUACAAGCCCCUAGAAGGUCCACACUUUGAGUUGUCAGCCAGAGACAGUAACUCAAAACCUCGGCUUCGGGCAGCCAGAAGCCCAGAAAUGGGGGAGAGGGCAGGCCUAGACACCAGGGAUGAAAAUAAAGUGAAUAUUAAAAAUUACCUGCAUGUAAUGUUUCAUAUAUUCUACAUAUUUUAAUAUAAAUGCCAGAGGUUUUUGAACCAGAGCAACUCCAUCUUGAAUAGGGGCUGGGUAAAUAAGGCUCCACCCUCAAGCCUGGAGAAUCUUGAAUAAGGCUGAGGCCUACUGGGCUGCGUUCCCAGGAAAGUAGGCGUUCUAAGUCACAGGAUGAGAUAGGAGGUCAGCACAAGAUACAGGUCACAAAGACCUUGCUGAUAAAACAGGUUGCGGUAAAGAAGCCAGCCACAACCAAGAUGGUGAUGAAAGUGGCAUCUGGUUGUCCUCAUUGCUCAUUACACGCUAAUUAUGAUGCAUUAGCAUGCUAAAAGACACUCUCACCAGCACCAUGAGAGUUUAUGAAUGCCAUGGCAACGUCAGGAAGUUAUCCUAUACCGUCUAAAAGGGGGAGGAACACUCAAUUCCAGGAAUUGCCCACACCUUUCCUGGAAAACUCAUGGAUAAUACACCCCUUGUUUGGUAUAUAAGCAAAAAGUAACAAUAAGUACAAGCAGUUGAGCACCCCAUUCCACUGCUCUGCCUAUGGAGUGGCCAUUCUUUUAUUAUUAUUGUUAUUAUUAUUAUUGAGACAGAGUUUCACUCUUGUUGCCCAGGCUGGAGUGCAAUGGUGCGAUCUCAGCUCACUGCAGCCUCCAUCUCCUGGGUUCAAGUGCUUCUCCUGCCUCAGACUCCUGAGUAGCUGGGAAUACAGGUGCCUGCCACCACACCCAGCUAAUUUUAAUAUUUUUGGUAGAGACGGGGUUUCUCCAUGUUGAUCAGGCUGGUCUCAAACUCCCAACUUCAGGUGAUCCGCCUGCCUCCUCAGCCUCCCAAAGUGCUGGGAUUACAGGUAUGAGCCACCGUGCUUGGCCACUGGAGUCGCCAUUGUUUUAUUCCUUUACUUUCUCUAAUAAACU
rnacentral:lncRNA from 1 species